AUCUCUUAGUUGAGAUCCUUGCCUCCUUGAUGCCUUCCAAAGCAUUACAGAUGGACUCAAGGAUACAGAGAUGCUCCAGGAGGCAUGGAUUUCUGGCUGGGGCCCAAAGGGAGACACAAACAGCAUUACGGAGAACGUUAAAAACCUGUGUAUGAAUGCAAGCCAACUUCUCUUACUGAUCAUCCCCAUCUUGGAGCUCCAGCAUAUCUACUUGGAGUUGAAUCAGGCCAGAGGAGAUUUCCAGAAAGGACUGAGCUAUACUGGGCAACAAGCAAUGAAUCAGAGGCAGAACAAAACAGGACAUCUCCAUCCGAGGGAAAAAAGGAAGACUGGAUGAAACAUCCCACGCCUGCGUUGCUUCAGCCCUUUGUUGUCUGCUGACUUCACUUCCCCUGUCUGGCUCAGGAGUGGGGAAAGCCUGAUGACAGCAUGCAAAGACAGAUCAUCGUCCUCCUUGUGCCUCACUGUACACAGCAACGUGCCAAAGCCCCCACGUGCCAGAGAGCAGCAAUUGCAGCUAGCGAGCCGUGGGAGACAUGCCGAGGCAGAGCUGGCCUGGUUUUGGGCUGGGGCGGCCAAUGGAAGGUUCAAUAGAUAGCAGCUGCCGCUUACCUGCUGCUCUGCACCGUGCCCACACAGCAGACUGGACAUGCAGAGAGCCAAAUGUAAGUCAAUGCUACUGCUAUAUGCCAACUAACCUGUUGCUUUUCCUUAGAAAUCAGUGUGUGUUCAAGUGUGAGCCCAUUUCCUCAGUGCCACGCCGAGGGAGACAAGGACCAGUGAAGCCAUACAGUGUGUCCUGCUCACCCACUGCUUACUCGUCCCCUGCCUGCUGUACACAGAUGUGUGCGUGGCACUUACAUGAUAGCUCUGCAUCUGGCAGACACAGAAUGGUCAGUACAACUGUCCAACAAGAGCUAAAUUUGUACUAAGUGCCUCCUUGGAAGUCCUAGCAACAACCCAGAACCACCACUUGUAAAGCAUUCAUGUUGUUUCUGUGCUUCUCAUUUAACUACACUGCAAUAAACUGGUGCUUCUGUUCGUGAAUCCCAUCCAGCCUGCUUCGCGCAUUGCUCCUCCUUUAGAGAUGGCUCUAGCUACUGCCUGCCUCACAGAAGUUUAGUAGACCUCAGAAGCAGGAUGGUGGUUAUUUAACUCUACAGCGGCCCACUGCCUUCUUUCACAGCCUCCAAGAGGAAUUCCACAGCAGCACUUUGUUCUCAUUGCCUAGAGCAGCAUACAACACAGGACAAGCUACAAACUAGCUGCAAUAUGCCGAUGCUGUUAACCUUAGGCCUGUCAAGCACCAUCUUCAGGCUGCCCAGGAAUAUCCCUGCUUCAACAAACCAGGCUCCAAAAGGACUUCAGGGAGCCACACACGGGGGCUCAUUAAUCCAGUCCCAGCUUCGGAGCAAAAGGGAAGAGCUUUCAAGAACAAGCAAAGUCACACAGUUAAGAUAAAGGCUAAAAACUGAGAGCUACCAAAUGAGUACCCACGUCUGACAGCUACCUGCAAACUACAAUAUUCAUCUCAUGCAAAAUAUUUGUAAGUAUUUCAGUAUGAAGAUCAAAAGCCACGCUAUUACCUAGUAGUUGCCUUUGCAUAUCAAAGGCUUGAAAGGGCUGGAAGUCGGGGAGCAAGCCUAGGUAAUGAGAACGACAUACUGACACUGCCUUUCUCACACCUGCACACUGGUGACUCCAACGAAGCACAGCUCAGUUCCAUGCUGAAACUGGGGACAAGGCCAGCAGCUGCCCAGCCAGUGUGCAAACAGGAGGUGGCACCUGCUGACACUCAGCCACCACGCUGCAGAGCCCUGGGCACCUGCAUGGCACACCAGUUGCAAGCCACACUGCAACGCGUAGCAAGUUGUCCCAUGCUUUUCACGUCAGGGUCAGAAUUUGGAGAUGAAAGCAUUUACUACACAGCCGAAUCUUCCGAAACGUGACAAAGUUUUAAAACCAAACAACAGAAUACAUCAAGAGUGAACAUCCAGACCAGCAUCUAUCUUACCUUCCUCUAAGAUAGAGAAAGACUCUAUCAGCUUUGUAUGGUAAUGGACAUUACCUUCUUCCUCCCACAUCCUGCACUGGGGCUGAGAAUAGAAACCAAAAACAAAGCUACUUGCAUCAUACCAUUCCCCCCCGUCACUUCCACUCCCCCCUCUCCCUCCUGCCCUUUUAAAAAGCUAUUUUCCAGCACGUCCUCCCAAAAAUACCAUUUGUUUUCUCAAUAAGGAC